rnacentral:rRNA from 1 species
UACGUAGGUGGCAAGCGUUGUCCGGAAUUAUUGGGCGUAAAGCGCGCGCAGGCGGCCUUUUAAGUCUGAUGUGAAAGCCCACGGCUCAACCGUGGAAGGUCAUUGGAAACUGAAAGGCUUGAGUACAGAAGAGGAAAGCGGAAUUCCACGUGUAGCGGUGAAAUGCGUAGAGAUGUGGAGGAACACCAGUGGCGAAGGCGGCUUCCUGGUCUGUAACUGACGCUGAGGCGCGAAAGCGUGGGGAGCAAACAGG